AACAAUUGUAUAUAAGUACCUACUUACGUUUAGAGGGUAGAUCUUCGGCGCCAAAAACUAUUUAAAAAUUGUGAGCUCAUCGGCCCUUUGAUGUUCAUUGCGAUUUCCUUUUAUUGCUCUUAUUGUUGAUUGCUAAUUUUGUAAAUUUAAGAAUGGUACCCGUAGUAGGUAAAUUAUAUAACUACGUAGCUACAAAUAGUUUUGCAUCAGAAAUCAGAAUCCCUGAUCUUACAAGCUCUCUUCCGUUUUCUGUGGUUGGCAACCAUGUUAGCUGCAGUGAGUGGACUCUCCCCCCUCUGAAGCCACAUUGCAAGUGCUCUCUCAGUGGUUGCUGCAGCUGCUGCUUGCACCCUUUCACUUUCUGAUAGAGGCUGCAUUGAACUUAUGGAGUCAUUAGACACGCUUGCUGAGAGAAGCAUUCUGAAUCUUUGCCUGAAGGUCUAAAGAAAAAGUUAUUUAUUGAAUUAUUGGUUUCUUCACAGGAAAAUAAUCAGCAUAAAAAUGUCUGAAAAAAAUUAUUAAUACAUUUAUUAUAAUUUUGAUGUAAAUUAUUUGUCUGAAAAUUGCAUGUGAUGGUAAAACAGAUUUGGUUUAAAUGGGUAAAUCCAUUUGCAUAGAACUGCUAGAUCAGAAAUUACCAUUGAGUCAAUCUGCUAUUGCUGGCAAGGAUCUUCUAUCUGCAAUCCACAGUGCUAUUUUUACGAUGCUGUCCAUUUAAAAAUCAAAUAUUUUCCAUAACAGCAAUUACCAGAAUAAAAAGUAAUGACCUAUCUGCAUGCCAAAUUUCAUCCAAAUCUUAUAAUAUUCUGAAUGCAUAAUUUAAAAACUAACUAUUAAUUAAAUAACAUCAAAUAUGUAAAUUACAAUGCAUUCUUGGAAAAUGUAUACAAAUGUAAAUAACUUUAAGACAAGUAUGUAAAUCACACACUUACAUUCAUCAAUGUAGCUGAUACUUCACCCUUAAUGUCAUGCUUAGCAACAUAACAUCCCAUUUCAUAAAAAUAUUUACCCAAUUUAUGCAUGUCAACAGUGCAAGCAUCCGCACCUAAUAUUUCUCUGUAAGAUUCUUUAUAAAUUUUGGGCAAUUCUACACUAAUUAAUGGGGGUCGCCUAGAAUAUAAAGACUCGGCCAACCAAAGAGGUAUAUCUAGGUGAGUUCCAGCUUUCAAAUCCUCUUCGGUAGCGGAUGGAUCUAAAAAACCUGAAGCAAAAUAAUAUUAUGAAAACAUCACAUAUUGAUCGAGUGCCCAGUGGGCCAGGGAACAUUAUAAACUAAAUUAAGCAAAAGAUACGGGUAUCACUAAGUAGCUCAAAGGAAUAUUGAUAUAUAUUACCCAUUUUAGGCAGGUCGUGUAAAAAUUUACAUGGCACUUUUUCAUUUGUUACUAAAAUAUCUUGUAUCGAUAAAUAACUUGUGUUUUCCAUUUAAAUUAGGCCAAUAAACGACUACUAAAUUAUUUACAUAGAUGCGGUAGUUUAUUUACACUAGUGCAAUAAAAAAAAAA